CGGGCGUAGCAAUACGUCAGUGGCAGACGGGUGAGUAACGCGUGGGAACGUACCUUUUGGUUCGGAACAACUGAGGGAAACUUCAGCUAAUACCGGAUAAGCCCUUACGGGGAAAGAUUUAUCGCCGAAAGAUCGGCCCGCGUCUGAUUAGCUAGUUGGUGGGGUAAUGGCCCACCAAGGCGACGAUCAGUAGCUGGUCUGAGAGGAUGAUCAGCCACAUUGGGACUGAGACACGGCCCAAACUCCUACGGGAGGCAGCAGUGGGGAAUAUUGGACAAUGGGCGCAAGCCUGAUCCAGCCAUGCCGCGUGAGUGAUGAAGGCCCUAGGGUUGUAAAGCUCUUUUGUGCGGGAAGAUAAUGACGGUACCGCAAGAAUAAGCCCCGGCUAACUUCGUGCCAGCAGCCGCGGUAAUACGAAGGGGGCUAGCGUUGCUCGGAAUCACUGGGCGUAAAGGGUGCGUAGGCGGGUUUCUAAGUCAGAGGUGAAAGCCUGGAGCUCAACUCCAGAACUGCCUUUGAUACUGGAAGUCUUGAGUAUGGCAGAGGUGAGUGGAACUGCGAGUGUAGAGGUGAAAUUCGUAGAUAUUCGCAAGAACACCAGUGGCGAAGGCGGCUCACUGGGCCAUUACUGACGCUGAGGCACGAAAGCGUG
rnacentral:rRNA from 1 species